CGGGGUGUGGCGCAGUCCGGUUAGCGCACCGCGUUUGGGACGCGGGGGCCGCAGGUUCGAAUCCUGCCACCCCGA
rnacentral:tRNA from 1 species